ensembl:snRNA U6 U6 spliceosomal RNA
UAUCAUGAGGAUACCUGUUAAAAAUACCAAUUGCUGGAAUGAUACAGAGAAGAUUAGCAUGGCCCCUGCACAAAGAUGACAUGCAAAUUCAUGAAGCGUUCCAUAUUUUU